AACGAACGCUGGCGGCAUGCCUAACACAUGCAAGUCGAACGAGAUCUUCGGGUCUAGUGGCGCACGGGUGCGUAACGCGUGGGAAUCUGCCCUUUGGUUCGGAAUAACAGUUGGAAACGACUGCUAAUACCGGAUGAUGACGAAAGUCCAAAGAUUUAUCGCCAGAGGAUGAGGCCCGCGUAGGAUUAGCUAGUUGGUGUGGUAAAGGCGCACCAAGGCGACGAUCCUUAGCUGGUCUGAGAGGAUGAUCAGCCACACUGGGACUGAGACACGGCCCGAACGCCUACGGGAGGCGGGAGUGGGGAAUAUUGGAAAGUGGGGGAAAGCCUGAUCCAGAAAGGCCGGGUGAGUGAUGAAGGCCUUGGGGUUGAAAAGCUCUUUUCCCGGGGAUGAUAGUGACAGUACCGGGAGAAUAAGCCCCGGCUAACUCGGUGCCAGCGGCCGCGGUAA
rnacentral:rRNA from 1 species